UUGUUCCUGGCACAAUAGAUGAAAGAGCAAUAAACACCAAAAGGUACUUAAUCCAUGGGAGAGAAAUGAGAAUCAUACUCUGUGUCUUAACUCUGCGAAAGCCAUUGCAUGCACUGUGGUUAACAUUGGACCCCAUGACUUGGUUGAAGGCAGGCCACAUUUGGUGCUUGGCUUAAUAUCUCAAAUUAUCAAGGUACAUGUUUUUCCAUCAUACCUAGGAUUGAAGGAUUUGAGAGAAAUAGUCAUGGUCGCUAGAGUGAUCGUCUAGAGGGAUGAUGUUGAGAUUGUCACUGUAAAGGACCCUCUCAUCACCAUUGAAGUAUUCGUUUGAAGGAGGGCGGAGAAAGGAGAGGAACAAUACAAUGAUUGCAGAGUUCUACACAUCUCUUUUUUUCCUAUGUAGAUCUAUGAGAAAAUAUUAGCUGUGGUUCUAUUCUUUUAGUAUUGUUUUUGGUAAUGUAAGCGUCAAAUGGC